rnacentral:rRNA from 1 species
CAGGUACAGAGGGAUGCUACCGGGCGACCGGAUGCGGAUCUCGAAAGCCUGUCCCAGUUCGGACUGGAGUCUGCAACCCGACUCCACGAAGUUGGAUUCGCUAGUAAUCGCGCAUCAGCCAUGGCGCGGUGAAUACGUUCCCGGGCCUUGUACACACCGCCCGUCAAGCCAUGGAAGCCGGGAGUGCCUGAAGUACGCGACCGCAAGGAACGUCCUAAGGUAAAACCGGUGACUGGGGCUAAGUCGUAACAAGGUACC